UCUGACUCCUCUCCACCUCAUUCCUCUCUGAGGGUACCAACAUGAUGCCAUUGAACAUGGGACGUGAUGUGCAUAAUCAGCUCUUGGGAACCUUCAGGUGUGGGCUCCAGCAUCUCACUGGACCGCUGGGUUCCUAGUAGAGUGGAGGAAGUGUUCACUUAGCCACAACUUUGCCUCACCCUGGAGGCCAACUGAGGCAUGUUAGUAUACCCUCUCCCUGUAGUUCUGGAGUGAGGACAUUGGAAAGCUAAACAGUGGUGCUUGAUUCAAGGUGCUUGAUCUAAUUUCUGUGGCCUUUGUCUGAAGAGGGAGGUAUAAGAAUGUGUCAACCUGGAAUUCCCAGACUGGCUGAUUGGGUCACAUUUGGAAAGCUGCUGUGUGCACAUCUGAUUAUCCUGCACCUAGGACUAUGAUUCAUUUCUUCUUUCUCAGAACGUGCAUCAGUUUGUUAUAUUGAUUAGCCUGAUUGUCUGAAUAGUGUCUUUCUGUGUCAAAUCUAUGAAAGUUUGAACCCUAUAUGCUUUUGCUGAAUACUGUAUUUCCAAUACCUAGUAAUUAUACCUAGACUGACA
rnacentral:lncRNA from 1 species